rnacentral:rRNA from 1 species
AACGCUGGCGGCGUGCCUAACACAUGCAAGUCAACUUGACUGAGGAGCAAUCUGACAGUAGAGUGGCGCAAGGGUGCGUAACGCGUAAGUAACUUGCCCAAGGUAAGGAAUAACGUCGAGAAAUCGGCGCUAAUACCUCAUAAUGCAGCGGAUCCGCAUGGAUAUGUUGUUAAAGGUUUACCGCCUUGGGAUAGGCUUGCGUCUGAUUAGUUAGUUGGUGUGGUAACGGCACACCAAGGCUACGAUCAGUAACUGGUCUGAGAGGAUGAUCAGUCACACUGGAACUGAGACACGGUCCAGACUCCUACGGGAGGCAGCAGUGAGGAAUAUUGGGCAAUGCUCGAAAGAGUGACCCAGCAACGCCGCGUGGAGGAUGAAGGUAUUCUAUAUCGUAAACUCCUGUGAGAGCAGACGAAAGACAGAUUAUUAAUCUGGAUGACUGUAUGCUCAGAGGAAGCCCCGGCUAACUACGUG